rnacentral:lncRNA from 1 species
GAUCAUUUGCUUGAUUAGAUUAGGGAUAACCCCUUGAAUAUGGGAUAUGGACGAGUUUGGCUUCUCUAGCCUUAGCACGCUCGUAUUUCCUCUAUUAAAGGGAAAAUUGAGUCACGAACAUUAGUCCCCCGUACCCGACAUGAUGCACUCCUUUAAGACAUGUAACUUUUGUAUAAUUAUUUUAUUUCUUUUCUUAGAGUCUCAUAUUUUUGCAUUAUUCGUGACUUUUUCGAAGAGUUCACAUUGGGCAUCACAAUUAAUGUGAUUGACAUCAAUUGAGCUUUGAAGAGAAAUUUCGACCCCCGAUACCCUCUUAGGUUUAGGGUUUGCAUUCAUAUAGUACAUCUAAAUGUGAUAAAUCUUUAGGUUAAAAUAAGAAAAUCUUUUGACUAAAUCGCGCAACUAGCCUUGGUUAGGUUGAAAGAGUGCCUUGGAUUCUUAUCCUUGCCUUCCCUUUCUUCAAAUGUGACUCCCGAAUCUUUUUCUCUGAUUUUCGUAGACUUGGAGUCGUUUAAAAAGGGGUUUUUCUACUUUUUUUCUUUAAAAAUUUAUUUUUUAGGUGACUUUGUACACCUUAACUCUAUACCAAGUGGCGACUCCAUUUUUCAUUCAAAAAAAUCCUUUUUAAACUAUAUUUGGGUCAAAUCGUCGCAUUUUCAAGUCCCAUUUAGACCCAUAUUUUUCUUCAUUUUCUUUGUAAAUCAAAAUUCAUUUUUCAACUAAAAAAUUCACUUUUUUAAACCAUUUAUUUGUUUUUAUUAAAAAUGGGGCGCGACAGUGAGGAAGAGAGCAGGAAUGGGAAGAGCUUCGGGUGGGCUGGAUAGGAAACCAGAGAAAGAAAUAAAAGGGACAACAGAGUAAUUAGAGUGGCGGCUAGGAUUAGAGAAAAAAGAGCAAGAGAGAUUGAGAGAGCUACGGGAACAAGAGAUGCCAAGGGAAGAAAAGCAAGAGGGGCGGCUGAGGGGAGAAAAGAAGAGAGGAAAAGAGCAACAGAGGGAGUGAGAGGAAGGAACCGAGAGAUCCGAGAAAGAACGAAGGAAAGAGAAGAAGGAAGAACUGAGGUUGAAACCCUAGAUUCAAGUCUCUUCAUCGAAGUUUACGGUUGAUUUCUGCAUCAAACCCAAGCUGAGGGUUCGGAUCCAAAGGGGGUAAAAUAGGUAGUCUUCAACCCUUUUCUGCUCAUUCGUCUCAAUCCCAAACUGAAAACUGGUGAUUUUCUUGUCUGUUAGUUUUUGCUAAAACCAAAUCUGCGUUUUUAGGAUGGUUUAGGUUGUAUUUGUGCUGAUUUCCUUUAGUCGAGCAAGGUUAAUGUUUUGUUUUUUGUUAAUCUGCUUCUUCGUUAGAAAGCCAAGUCAUAAUGGUUUGCUGUGUCUUGAAUGGUUUGCACUAGCUAUCGGUGAGAUUGUUAAAGUGUCUAAGCAUCAGAAAAGCUUCAGAAAAUAGCCAAAGUUUGCAUAUUUUUCUUCGGAUUUUCUGGGUUCAAAUCUAGGGUUUCAUGUUGAAAAGAAUGCAGAAUGUUUGAUGAUUCUGUUGUCGGGUUUUAGAUUGCGUGUGGCUGAGAUUUGAUGCAUAAAAUCUGCUGCAACAAGCUCGAAGCUCUCGACUUGUUGCAGCAGCGUGGACAGAUCCUUUCUCUUUCUUUGGAUUGCUGAAGUUUUGGCUUGCUUAAAAUGCUUAAUUUGUUUGCUGUUUGGCUGAGAUGUCAUGGGCAUGCUUGAGAGCUUAGUGGUAAAGGCCAUCAGUGUUCAUCAUCUUGUUUUGGGUUUGUUUUUUUUCUUGGAAGUUUGAUUCGAAGUUUCAGCAAAUGACCAUAGCACUCUGUUGCUGCGUUUUUACCUUCCUCUCUCCCUUGUCCCAAGUUCAUGCCUUUGAGUUGAGUUGCCGAAUCUUGUCUUUCGAUGCUUGCAUGAGAAAAUGUUCGGUCCUCGUAGUUAUGCAUGCUUGCUGUCUUUCGUUGUUCCUUUUUCUUUCUUCCUGUUUUUACUUGCUCAAAAGUUGCUCUCAUGUCUCUCCGUGGAGCUGUGUCGACAUUGCUCAGAGUUUUGUUUUGGAGAGAUUUUGGUGUAGUUUGUUUCAUAAAGUAAGAUUUUAACGGCUGUUUUCCUUUUCAUGAUGCAAAACACGUACGAAUGUUAAUUGGUCAAGUGAACUUUCAUGAGAAAACCCAGAAUUCGUGGAAAGCUUCUAAAUGAACUUGGGUUUUGCAAACCUUCCUCAUUCUGUAUUCGCUUUUCUCUUGCAUGUUUAAUAAGUUUUGAUGAUAAGCUUAUGUAGAACUUGGGAUUGUUUUUGGUUUGAGAUUAUUGUCGGAAACUUGCCGCAUGAAAUUGCGGAAUUCUCAAAGCAUUAGAAGUUGCAGACAGUUCUUCCAAUUGCAGAAGACUUCGUUGGGUUGCAUGCAUGGAAAUUUCAGAAAAGUUACAUUCUAACCCUUCAAGUUCUCUUUUGUUCUACUAUGGCCCAGAAAAUUGGAAAUUUAAUCAAUUUUGUCCUUUUAAAUUGCUAUUUUUCUUUGGUGUGUUCUAAUAUGAUCAUUUGGAU